rnacentral:rRNA from 2 species
GAGGAAGAUAGUGUAGUUAAUAGCUGCAUCAUUUGACGUUAGCGACAGAAGAAGCACCGGCUAACUCCGUGCCAGCAGCCGCGGUAAUACGGAGGGUGCGAGCGUUAAUCGGAAUUACUGGGCGUAAAGCGCAUGCAGGUGGUUUGUUAAGUCAGAUGUGAAAGCCCGGGGCUCAACCUCGGAAUAGCAUUUGAAACUGGCAGACUAGAGUACUGUAGAGGGGGGUAGAAUUUCAGGUGUAGCGGUGAAAUGCGUAGAGAUCUGAAGGAAUACCGGUGGCGAAGGCGGCCCCCUGGACAGAUACUGACACUCAGAUGCGAAAGCGUGGGGAGCAAACAGGAUUAGAUACCCUGGUAGUCCACGCCGUAAACGAUGUCUACUUGGAGGUUGUGGCCUUGAGCCGUGGCUUUCGGAGCUAACGCGUUAAGUAGACCGCCUGGGGAGUACGGUCGCAAGAUUAAAACUCAAAUGAAUUGACGGGGGCCCGCACAAGCGGUGGAGCAUGUGGUUUAAUUCGAUGCAACGCGAAGAACCUUACCUACUCUUGACAUCCAGAGAACUUUCCAGAGAUGGAUUGGUGCCUUCGGGAACUCUGAGACAGGUGCUGCAUGGCUGUCGUCAGCUCGUGUUGUGAAAUGUUGGGUUAAGUCCCGCAACGAGCGCAACCCUUAUCCUUGUUUGCCAGCGAGUAAUGUCGGGAACUCCAGGGAGACUGCCGGUGAUAAACCGGAGGAAGGUGGGGACGACGUCAAGUCAUCAUGGCCCUUACGAGUAGGGCUACACACGUGCUACAAUGGCGCAUACAGAGGGCGGCCAACUUGCGAAAGUGAGCGAAUCCCAAAAAGUGCGUCGUAGUCCGGAUUGGAGUCUGCAACUCGACUCCAUGAAGUCGGAAUCGCUAGUAAUCGUGGAUCAGAAUGCCACGGUGAAUACGUUCCCGGGCCUUGUACACACCGCCCGUCAC